UCGAGCGUCAUUUCAACCAAUCAAGCCUAGGCUUGGUCUUGGGGCAUGCGGGUUUUCGCAGCCUCUAAAAUCAGUGGCGGUGCUAGUUAGCUCCGAGCGUAGUAAUACUCCUCGCUAUAGAGUCUAGGUAGUGUCUUGCCAACAACCCCUAAAUUUUUCAGGUUGACCUCGGAUCAGGUAGGGAUACCCGCUGAACUUAA
rnacentral:misc_RNA from 1 species